GUUCAAAGCCUAAGAGAGAGACCUGCAAUAUGCAUGAGAAACAAUGGAUUGCCAUCCUGUUUGGGUUACCAACAUUUAAGGGUGACCUGUCUGUCCCCUUUAGGAGCUGUGGGGCCCAGGGCCGGCCAUACCAGUUCCAAGGCACGGCCCCCCUAAGGAUAGGCGAUCCAGGGAUGGAUCAGCAGACACUUGGCCCCCAUUUCCAGCUUGUCUCAGCCAGAUGACUCAAGAUGCUCAUCAGGUGGAUUCAGCACUCAUUAAAGGUACAAGGUUGACAGCGCUGGAAAAUGAAGCCCUCUAAUUAGCCCCAGGAUUGACAUACCCUGGAUAGGGGCUGUGCAAAGUUCACCACUCUGCCUGGCUAAUCUGUCUUCGUCCUGCUUGGGAACGACCCCAUCUCAAAAGGUGAGAUGAGCAGGUCAUUCAAUUCUCAGCCUCUGUGGAGGAUGCCAACAAAGGGGCCAAUUGUGUUGUGGAAGCACACCCCCUGGAACUGGACCAAGACCACCAAUGCACUUCUAAUGAAUAAUCCCCUUUGGUAAAUCCCGUCCUUUGUGUAGUUAUAUUACUUCUUUUUUUUUUUUGAAAGGAACAAUUUACAGAAGAGAAAAUAUUUUCUGAGACACCGCAGAUAACUAGAAACCUCAGAUGAUUUCGAUGGGCUGUUGGUUAUUUGUAACCGAAAUCUCUGAUAUUGGGCAGCCUGCUACAUGUUACUUAUUCUCCCAUCUACUCGCGAUGCUCCUCCAAACUGCUCUUUCCUUACUGCUCCUUCUGUCUGCCUCCUACGAUCUAGUUCAUAUCUUCACUCACGUUGCCCCCUGUGCUUGGAAAUGUCUCCUCCUUAAGCACAAAGGAUCAACUCCAAAAAAGGCAUUUAGGCACCUAAAUCCCAUUGAAAUCAAUCUGGGCCCAAGUCCCUGGGUUCUUUCCUUCAAAUCCCUCUUCAACACUCAUUUCUUCUAAAAUGCUUCCUUAUCAUUAAUCUGCAUGUUCAAUACAGUGUAAGGGGACUGUUGCCCCCUUACUAAC